rnacentral:rRNA from 1 species
CAGUCGCCACGGGAAUACGAAGGGUGCAAGCGUUAAUCGGAAUUACUGGGCGUAAAGCGCGCGUAGGUGGUUUAUUAAGUUGGAUGUGAAAGCCCCGGGCUCAACCUGGGAACUGCAUCCAAAACUGGCAAGCUAGAGUAUGGUAGAGGGUGGUGGAAUUUCCUGUGUAGCGGUGAAAUGCGUAGAUAUAGGAAGGAACACCAGUGGCGAAGGCGACCACCUGGGCUCAUACUGACACUGAGGUGCGAAAGCGUGGGGAGCAAACAGGAUUAGAUACCCGGGUAGUCCCUGUCUCUUAUAC